GCUCGUUUUCAGCGAGGAGGAUGGACUCGCAAAUCCAAGUGCUAACAGCCAAUGACUUUUCCUUUUCCUUUUCGCCUCAAAAACCAUGGGGAAUGGUCAAUCUUUAGAUUUAGAUCAUAAGGGUACAAGGUUUUUGGUGAUAUUUUGAUUUCCUAGAAUCCUAGUAACCCAGAAAAAUUUGAUCACUGUAAAUGCUAGAGAAUGGCAAGCUGUGCAGUGGAAGGAGGCUGCGCUACCGAUUACAUUGCUAUUUCCAUAGCCAUCCUCUCCAUGAUUUUGCUUCUUUCACGGUCAAUUUUUCCCUUUUUGGUCCACAAGGUUCCUCGUAUUAAUGGCAGUGGGUUCUGGAUUCCUCUAAUUCAAAUUUUUGGCAGCUUCAACCUAUUGUUAUCAAUUGUGAUGUCCAUCAAUAUCCUGAAAUUCAAAAAGAGGCAUUGGUGGCAAUCGUGCUAUGUUUGGGCAGUCUGGUUUGAAGGUCCACUGGGAUUUGGCUUGCUGCUUUGCUGUCGCAUAACACAGGCUUACCAACUGUAUUACAUAUUUGUCAAGAGGCAGUUACCACUAAUUAGAUCCUAUAUUUUUCUUCCUCUAAUUCUCUUGCCAUGGCUUGCUGGGGCUGCACUUAUACAUGUGAAGAAGCCACUGAACACCCGAUGCCAUAUGGGAACUCAUUGGGUCAUUCCUGCUGUGUGCCUUCAUACAUCCUAUGUUGCUUCUUUGGUUGGAUUCACAGGGGCAAUUCGACAUAUAGAGUUCAGGUUUGAUGAACUCAAAGACCUGUGGCUGGGGAUACUUGUCUCAGCAUCAUCUAUUGGAGUAUGGGUGGUUGCUUAUAUUUUGAAUGAAAUUCAUGAUGAUAUCUCAUGGCUUCAAGUUGUCUCCAGAUUUUUUCUUCUAAUUACUGCAAGUAUUCUUGUGCUGGCUUUCUUCUCUAUAUCAAGUUCACAACCUUUGCUUUCACAAAUCAGCUUGAGGAAAAGAGAACCUCUACAAUUUGAAACAAUGGGCCAGGCUUUGGGAAUUCCUGAUAGUGGACUACUAAUGCAAAGAGAUCCAGCUCCAGUCAUAGAUCCUAAUGAACCACUGGACAAGCUUCUUCUGAACAAAAGAUUCCGUCAGUCUUUUAUGGCUUUUGCUGACAGUUGUUUGGCUGGGGAGAGUGUUCAUUUCUAUAAUGAAGUGCAUGAGCGUGGCAAAAUCCCAAUAGAUGACACAGUAAGAAGGAUCUAUAUGACCCGGCAUAUUAUUGAGAAAUAUAUAGUUGCAGGUGCAGCAACAGAGGUGAACAUAUCUCACCGAACGCGGCAAGAAAUAUUGACUACAGUUGAUCUAGCACACCCUGAUCUCUUUAAUAAUGCAAUAAAUGAGGUGCUGCAGCUAAUGAAAAUGAAUUUAGCAAAAGAUUACUGGACAUCCAUGUUUUUCAUCAAAUUCAAAGAAGAAGCCAAUAUGAGAUCCAAUGACCAUGACCUGGAACAGAUGGCAGGUUGGAACUUCUCUCCUAGAUUGAGUUCUGUACAUGGCACUGAUGAUCCAUUCCAUCAAGAACAUCUUGUGAAGGGCAUUGAUUCAGACACAAAAAGCCAAGAAUUGUGAAUAUUGUGCUGGUUUACAGCAAAGUUGAUUCAGCGAUUGAGCAUGGCAUACCAAGUAUAACAAGUGAUGCAUAAUGAACCCUCAACAUAAGAUUCAAAAUAUGAUGAAAUGCAAACAAAAGGAGUGAAAAAGGAUGAAUAGAGAGAAGAAGGAGGUGAACUGCCUAUUGAGGUGGGAAAUUAAUGCAUCUACUACAUUUAUACAGACAUGACCAUGUUAAGUGUCAUUGCUCAAUGUUAUACAGGCAAAAAUGUUCAUUUUGUUAGUGGGGCCGGCCUCAGCAUGACCACAUUGAUUUAAUCUGAACAGUGACACUUGAAAGUAAAGUAACCCAUCUCCCCAAUUUACUUCCAGGAUUUUCAUGUAGUCCAGUAGAAAGUUAUUAGAUAGAUGCAUGGACUCUGGUGGCAGACAAGUCUUAUUUUGAUUAGACAUACGUUCAUGUUAAAUACUAUUUACUCUUUUGGAGGGAAAGUGCUCAUUUCAGCAGCUAUAUAUAUAUAUAUAUUUUUGAUGUUGAUGUUAUGGAUAUAUAUUUAUGUAAUGAAACAUUUAGGGGAGGGGCAUGUGCGCUCUCUCUAUUAUCUAAUUUGAGCAUGUACGUGC
rnacentral:misc_RNA from 1 species